rnacentral:rRNA from 1 species
AGAGUUUGAUCAUGGCUCAGAUUGAACGCUGGCGGCAGGCCUAACACAUGCAAGUCGAGCGGAAACGAGUUAUCUGAACCUUCGGGGGACGAUAACGGCGUCGAGCGGCGGACGGGUGAGUAAUGCCUAGGAAAUUGCCCUGAUGUGGGGGAUAACCAUUGGAAACGAUGGCUAAUACCGCAUGAUGCCUACGGGCCAAAGAGGGGGACCUUCGGGCCUCUCGCGUCAGGAUAUGCCUAGGUGGGAUUAGCUAGUUGGUGAGGUAAGGGCUCACCAAGGCGACGAUCCCUAGCUGGUCUGAGAGGAUGAUCAGCCACACUGGAACUGAGACACGGUCCAGACUCCUACGGGAGGCAGCAGUGGGGAAUAUUGCACAAUGGGCGCAAGCCUGAUGCAGCCAUGCCGCGUGUAUGAAGAAGGCCUUCGGGUUGUAAAGUACUUUCAGUCGUGAGGAAGGUAGUGUAGUUAAUAGCUGCAUUAUUUGACGUUAGCGACAGAAGAAGCACCGGCUAACUCCGUGCCAGCAGCCGCGGUAAUACGGAGGGUGCGAGCGUUAAUCGGAAUUACUGGGCGUAAAGCGCAUGCAGGUGGUUUGUUAAGUCAGAUGUGAAAGCCCGGGGCUCAACCUCGGAAUAGCAUUUGAAACUGGCAGACUAGAGUACUGUAGAGGGGGGUAGAAUUUCAGGUGUAGCGGUGAAAUGCGUAGAGAUCUGAAGGAAUACCGGUGGCGAAGGCGGCCCCCUGGACAGAUACUGACACUCAGAUGCGAAAGCGUGGGGAGCAAACAGGAUUAGAUACCCUGGUAGUCCACGCCGUAAACGAUGUCUACUUGGAGGUUGUGGCCUUGAGCCGUGGCUUUCGGAGCUAACGCGUUAAGUAGACCGCCUGGGGAGUACGGUCGCAAGAUUAAAACUCAAAUGAAUUGACGGGGGCCCGCACAAGCGGUGGAGCAUGUGGUUUAAUUCGAUGCAACGCGAAGAACCUUACCUACUCUUGACAUCCAGAGAACUUUCCAGAGAUGGAUUGGUGCCUUCGGGAACUCUGAGACAGGUGCUGCAUGGCUGUCGUCAGCUCGUGUUGUGAAAUGUUGGGUUAAGUCCCGCAACGAGCGCAACCCUUAUCCUUGUUUGCCAGCGAGUAAUGUCGGGAACUCCAGGGAGACUGCCGGUGAUAAACCGGAGGAAGGUGGGGACGACGUCAAGUCAUCAUGGCCCUUACGAGUAGGGCUACACACGUGCUACAAUGGCGCAUACAGAGGGCGGCCAACUUGCGAAAGUGAGCGAAUCCCAAAAAGUGCGUCGUAGUCCGGAUUGGAGUCUGCAACUCGACUCCAUGAAGUCGGAAUCGCUAGUAAUCGUGGAUCAGAAUGCCACGGUGAAUACGUUCCCGGGCCUUGUACACACCGCCCGUCACACCAUGGGAGUGGGCUGCAAAAGAAGUAGGUAGUUUAACCUUCGGGGGGACGCUUACCACUUUGUGGUUCAUGACUGGGGUGAAGUCGUAACAAGGUAGCGCUAGGGGAACCUGGCGCUGGAUCACCU